rnacentral:rRNA from 1 species
CCUACGGGAGGCAGCAGUGAGGAAUAUUGGUCAAUGGACGAGAGUCUGAACCAGCCAAGUAGCGUGAAGGAUGACUGCCCUAUGGGUUGUAAACUUCUUUUAUAUGGGAAUAAAAUGUUCCACGUGUGGGAUUUUGUAUGUACCAUAUGAAUAAGGAUCGGCUAACUCCGUGCCAGCAGCCGCGGUAAUACGGAGGAUCCGAGCGUUAUCCGGAUUUAUUGGGUUUAAAGGGAGCGUAGGUGGAUUUUUAAGUCAGUUGUGAAAGUUUGCGGCUCAACCGUAAAAUUGCAGUUGAAACUGGCAGGCUUGAGUACAGUAGAGGUGGGCGGAAUUCGUGGUGUAGCGGUGAAAUGCUUAGAUAUCACGAAGAACUCCGAUUGCGAAGGCAGCUCACUGGACUGCAACUGACACUGAGGCUCGAAAGUGUGGGUAUCAAACAGGAUUAGAUACCCCAGUAGUC